AUAUUUUUGGUAAUCAGCAGGGUUUUUAGUCG
rnacentral:scRNA from 1 species